GGGGGUGGCUUCCAUCUGGAAGGAAUCUGGAGACAGGUGGCUGCAUGGCUGCCGUCAGCUCGUGUCGUGAGAUGUUGGGUUAAGUCCCGCAACGAGCGCAACCCUUGCCUUUAGUUGCCAGCAGUUCGGCUGGGCACUCUAAAGGGACUGCCGGUGUUAAACCGGAGGAAGGUGGGGAUGACGUCAAGUCCUCAUGGCCUUUAUGACCAGGGCUACACACGUACUACAAUGGCCGAUACAAAGGGCAGCGACACUGCGAGGUGAAGCCAAUCCCGUAAAAUCGGUCUCAGUCCGGAUUGGAGUCUGCAACUCGACUCCAUGAAGUUGGAAUCGCUAGUAAUCGUGGAUCAGCAUGCCACGGUGAAUACGUUCCCGGGCCUU
rnacentral:rRNA from 1 species